GGAUGGUUGGCCGAGCGAUCGAAGGCGCCUGCCUGUAAAGCAGGAUCCCGAAAGGACAACGGUGGUUUGAAUCCAUCACCAUCCACCA
rnacentral:tRNA from 1 species